rnacentral:lncRNA from 1 species
AAAAGCUCCAGGAGGGCAAGGUGACCCUUGACUUACUCCUCAGACAGCUAUUAAACAGGCAAGAAGCCGAAGGAGUACCUUUACUUCAUCACUUUCCUGCUCUUGGAGGACUUUUACAGAACAUCAGGAUUCACAUAUAAAGUUCUCCAUAGUGAAAAUAUGGACCACAAAUUGUUUUUUGGCAUAACCUUGAUGGUGGGAUCUUGGAUGCUGGAUGGAACGGCAAGCCAAGUUUCCGCACAGUCUUUCACAACAAACAUCACCAACACAGCCUGUGGAAACACCAAGCAGUGUCUGAGCAGCCCGAUGUCCUGCAACCCAAUGGGCAACACAUCAUGUCUGUUUGCCUCCGUCUCGCUGCAAGGAAACAACAUGACUGUGGAGCUUCAAGGGUAUUCUCCUGGGUACAUCGCACUGGGACUCAACGCUGCAAACGCAACACAAAACGCUACGGUGUUUGCCUGUGCCAAUAUAAACAGCAAUGUCUCCUUAUUCACCACCAUGUUCACCAACAGCUCCCUGGUCCAAAUGAGCACAGUCAAUGUGAGCUCAAUUCAAGGCUCAGCCAAGGGGACCCUCCUUCAGUGCAUCUUCAGUGUCACUAACUUCAGCUCCUUGCUCAUGAUCAGUGGUGGUGUCACUAGCGUUUAUGGCUUCCUCGCUACUGGAAAUGUCACCAACAGAACACUGCAAGCUCCAGUCAUACAGCUGCAACCUAGUCUGCUGGUUCUGUCCAACACCACCAGUGCCACCAUUACCACCCCAACCAUGAGCAGCCCUCCGACCGUCAUUGUCGCACAGCCUCUCAUUACAAACAUCACCAACACAGCCUGUGGAAACACCAAGCAGUGUCUGAGCAGCCCGAUGUCCUGCAACCCAAUGGGCAACACAUCGUGUCUGUUUGCCUCCGUCUCGCUGCAAGGAAACAACAUGACUGUGGAGCUUCAAGGGUAUUCUCCUGGGUACAUCGCACUGGGACUCAACGCUGCAAACGCAACACAAAACGCUACGGUGUUUGCCUGUGCCAAUAUAAACAGCAACGUCUCCUUAUUCACCACCAUGUUCACCAACAGCUCCCUGGUCCAAAUGAGCACAGUUAAUGUGAGCUCAAUUCAGGGCUCAGCCAAGGGGACCCUCCUUCAGUGCAUCUUCAGUGUCACUAACUUCAGCUCCUUGCUCAUGAUCAGUGGUGGUGUCACUAGCGUUUAUGGCUUCCUCGCUACUGGGAAUGUCACCAACGGAACACUGCAAGCUCCAGUCAUACAGCUGCAACCUAGUCUGCUGAUCUUGUCUAACAUCUCCACCACUACUGCUUCCCCAACCACCAGCAGCAGCCCUCCAAUCUCCAUUGUCACACAGUCUCUCACUAAAAACAUCACCAACGCAGACUGUGGGAAGACCAAGCGGUGUCUCAGCUUUCCAGAAUCCUGCAACCCAGCGGGCAGCACACCUUGUCUUUUCACCUCCACCAACUUCACAGCACAGGGCAACGUGGCCUUUGAGCUCCGAGGGGAGUCCCCAUCCCCUGGGUACAUCGCAGUGGGACUGAGCAACAGAAGCUCAUUGCAAAAUGGCUUAAUGUUUGCCUGCGCCCAACAAAAUAGCACCAUCUCCAUCUACAACAUCCUGGUGAAAAAUAAUGAGCUGUUCCAGAACAACAUGGUCAGUCUGAGCUCAGGUCAGGGCUCCUUCAGCAGGAACAUCACUCAGUGCACCUUCACUGCCAACUUCAGCUCUGCAGUCUUAACUCGAGCAUCUACCUUGAGCUUUUACGUCUUGCUUGCUAAUGGCACCAUCAUCAAUGGAACACUGCAGGCACCAAAUGUUCAGCUGUCCUCAAACCUCGUGGACCUUUCAACUAGUGGCAGCACUUCACCUAUUUACUCUAUCUUGGCUCUGCUAAUACCACUCAGUGUGGUGACCUUUCAGCUGUUUUGAGGACCUGAAAACAACCAGAUGAAGACAACAGGGUGAUCAAU